rnacentral:misc_RNA from 1 species
AGGCAAUGUAUGUAUGUCUGAGAUUGACAUCAUUGUAACCAUUCAGCAGAUAGUAGCACUGAGCCAUGGGUUGAUAAUGUUUUUCAAUAUCUGUCCUUUUCAAAGAACAUCAACGCAUGUCAAAAUAUUCCUGACGCAGCUGCUUGCUAUACAGUGAGGCGUCUCAAAGGAAUUCAGCAAAGAUAGCAUUAACGGCUUGUAUGACAUUUAGAUGACAAAACUGGGCUUUGUGAUAUUCUCUAAUGGAAG